AUGAACGCUAGCGACAGGCUUAACACAUGCAAGUCGAGGGGUAACAGGGUAGCAAUACCGCUGACGACCGGCGCACGGGUGAGUAACGCGUAUGCAACCUGCCUAUAACUGGGGAAUAGCUCCCUAGAAAGGGGAAUUAACACCGCAUAACACUAUUGAUUCGCAUGGAUUGGUAGUUAAAUGUAGCGAUACAGGUUAUAGAUGGGCAUGCGUGACAUUAGCUAGUUGGUGAGGUAACGGCUCACCAAGGCUACGAUGUCUAGGGGUUCUGAGAGGAAGGUCCCCCACACUGGUACUGAGACACGGACCAGACUCCUACGGGAGGCAGCAGUGAGGAAUAUUGGUCAAUGGGCGCAAGCCUGAACCAGCCAUGUCGCGUGCAGGAAGACUCGCCCUAUGGGUUGUAAACUGCUUUUAUAGUAGAAGAAACACAUCUACGCGUAGAUGUCUGCCAGUAUACUAUGAAUAAGCAUCGGCUAACUCCGUGCCAGCCGCUGC
rnacentral:rRNA from 1 species